UGGGGAAUUUGGACAAUGGCGAAAGCCUGAUCCAGCAAUGCCGCGUGUGUGAAGAAGGCCUUCGGGUUGUAAAGCACUUUUGUCCGGAAAGAAAUCCUUGGCUCUAAUACAGUCGGGGGAUGACGGUACCGGAAGAAUAAGCACCGGCUAACUACGUGCCAGCAGCCGCGGUAAUACGUAGGGUGCAAGCGUUAAUCGGAAUUACUGGGCGUAAAGCGUGCGCAGGCGGUUUGCUAAGACCGAUGUGAAAUCCCCGGGCUCAACCUGGGAACUGCAUUGGUGACUGGCAGGCUAGAGUAUGGCAGAGGGGGGUAGAAUUCCACGUGUAGCAGUGAAAUGCGUAGAGAUGUGGAGGAAUACCGAUGGCGAAGGCAGCCCCCUGGGGCCAAUACUGACGCUCAUGCACGAAAGCGUGGGGAGCAAACAGGAUUAGAUACCCUGGUAGUCCACGCCCUAAACGAUGUCAACUAGUUGUUGGGGAUUCAUUUCCUUAGUAACGUAGCUAACGCGUGAAGUUGACCGCCUGGGGAGUACGGUCGCAAGAUUAAAACUCAAAUGAAUUGACGGGGUCAUAGCUGUUUCCU
rnacentral:rRNA from 1 species